GAUGAAGAACGCAGUGAAAUGCGAUAAGUAAUGCGAAUUGCAGAUUUCAGUGAGUCAUCGAAUCUUUGAACGCACAUUGCGCCCGCCAGUAUUCUGGCGGGCAUGCCUGUUCGAGCGUCAUUUCAACCAUCAAGCCCCCGGGCUUGCGUUGGGGCCCUGCGGCUGCCGCAGGCCCCGAAAACCAGUGGCGGGCUCGCUGUCACACCGAGCGUAGUAGAUUUUCAUCUCGCUCAGGGCGUGCUGCGGGUUCCGGCCGUAAAAAGCCUUAUUUACCCAAGGUUGACCUCGGAUCAGGUAGGAAGACCCGCUGAACUUAAGCAUAUCAAUAAGCGGAGGA
rnacentral:misc_RNA from 1 species